CAGCCGUAGCCUCCUCGUUCGUCUUCUCAGGACUCCAGAGAACCGUUGGGGAACUUUGGGGUGUGCUCGGAAAAUGCAGGGUGCGCACCUAGGGCGAGGGACUAGCUGGGAAGGGUGUGCCUGUGCUUGGGGAUGGGAGCAGAAAGUGUCUGGGACCUCGUUGCCCCCCGCGGCGGUGUAUAAACCCGGGCAGGCCGUCAGAGCGGCUGAACCACAGUCCUCUGUACUCGCCCAGGAGCCACAGAAAGUGAACAUCCCUCAGG
rnacentral:lncRNA from 1 species